rnacentral:lncRNA from 1 species
ACACUGAAGGUAAAGAAGGAAUAAUUCUAGUAAACUAGUUUUUUUUUGUAAACAGAGUCUGAGUAUUGCAUAUAACUUCAUUAGAACAAUCCAAAAACGAUAAGUAGACUGACAAAUCAAGUACUGGUCUUCGGAAGGGGCAGUCCUGUCUGCGUAUUCAUUUCUCCGUUUCACCAACUUUUGACAAAUCAAGUACUGGGCAUCACAAGGGGCAGUCCUGUCUGCGUAUUCAUUUCAUGAACUUUAAUCUUUCUCUUUACAGAUAAAUAAAAUAUAAAUAAUAUGAAACAUGCAUGGAUUAGUUUUUAUCCAUGUUUCUUUAACCUUAAAAAUUGAAAGAAAAUCCCAUAUUCCAGUUUGAUAUUAUUGAGGAAUGGUAGAACCUUUAACACAGGAUUUUGUUUUUACUUAUUCGGGACUACGGAAUUUCGUUUCUUUAUAUUCGGGGUUUCGGAAUCGAACACCCCAACCCCUAACCCUAAAUUUAUAGAUUCUGGAACUAAAAUACCAUCAACUAUUUCCAGAAAUAAUUUGAAAUUACGGACCUACAUGUAAACGUCAAAAACUCCAUUCCAAUUCUCCUGUACCC